rnacentral:rRNA from 1 species
GAUGAACGCUGGUGGCGUGCCUAAUACAUGCAAGUCGAGCGAACAGACGAGGAGCUUGCUCCUCUGACGUUAGCGGCGGACGGGUGAGUAACACGUGGAUAACCUACCUAUAAGACUGGGAUAACUUCGGGAAACCGGAGCUAAUACCGGAUAAUAUAUUGAACCGCAUGGUUCAAUAGUGAAAGACGGUUUUGCUGUCACUUAUAGAUGGAUCCGCGCCGCAUUAGCUAGUUGGUUAGGUAACGGCUUACCAAGGCAACGAUGCGUAGCCGACCUGAGAGGGUGAUCGGCCACACUGGAACUGAGACACGGUCCAGACUCCUACGGGAGGCAGCAGUAGGGAAUCUUCCGCAAUGGGCGAAAGCUUGACGGAGCAACGCCGCGUGAGUGAUGAAGGUCUUCGGAUCGUAAAACUCUGUUAUUAGGGAAGAACAAAUGUGUAAGUAACUAUGCACGUCUUGACGGUACCUAAUCAGAAAGCCACGGCUAACUACGUG